rfam:Stx2 converting phage II DNA, complete genome.
CGAUUAUUAAAACGAGUAUCUCAUGCAAUUGCCCGAACCCACUCGGGCUUUUU